UCGAGCUCACUUCCCAAGAUGGACCAUUGCGAUGGUGGGGUAACUGCUGCGAUGGUACCGCUAUAGCGGAGCUUUGACCACUGCCAGUAGCCAUCCAUGUUCUCGGUGGCCGCUGUGGUGGGCGGCGGACCGCUAUGGCGGCACCGCUAUAGUGGUGGACAGACCGCCAUAGCAGUCAAGCGGAUUUCCCUUUGGUCCGCUAUAGCGGUCACUUGACCGCUAUAGCUAGACCGCUACAACGGCGUGAUGACCGCUUUAGUGGUCGACGGAAAACAGUGGCCCAAAUUCUUUAUACUUAGUCUUAUAUUCUCUAUUCAUAAAACACCAACACACUUCCCAAAAAGCACCUAGGAUGAAAUUCCAAGCUAGGGCAAGAAACUCUUGAGAGGUAAGUUUCCAUCAAUUCCAUUCUAUCAUUCCAUUCUCCUGCAUGAUGGUUAUCCCCUUCAUGGGUUUUUAAUGGUGAAAUUGAAAUAGAAAUCCUAGAAUAUUAAUAAACCUUCUAAAAUUGAUGAGUUAUGGUUAUUAUCACUUAGUUAUCAUCUAAAGGCUUGGGUUAGUUUCUCUUAAUCAUGAAUUGAACACUUAGAGUCAUAAAACUAAGUAAAUGGAGACCUAGGGUUCUAUAAAAAUGGUGUCUUGACCAUAAAAACUGCUUGUAGUGGGAAUGUAGAUUGAAUAUGGUUAUAAAUUGAUGAUUAAUGUUACUAAGGCCCUUGAUAGGUUACUUAACACCUAGAAAAUCAUCCACCUCUUGGAAUGGGGAAAAAGGGAAGUGUAUUCUUGAAUUGGUACUUGUGAUUGAGUAAUUGCUACCCAUUGAACCUUUUAUUUCUAACUUUGAGCGUUCUGAGGCUUUAAGGAAAGGGAAAGCUCUAGCGGAGUGACUUGUGUUGUUACCACAUCGAGUGCAGAUUAUGAUACGGAGAUUGCUACCAGCCCUGACAUCUAGCAUGGAGGACGUUUGCUAACAGAUUUAGGGUGAGCUUCUUCCCAUGCCUAGCCGCCCAAAGAUCUUCUUCUUCUGAUAUAUGCCUCGAGGUAGAGGUCAAGCUAGC